rnacentral:rRNA from 1 species
GACGAACGCUGGCGGCGUGCUUAACACAUGCAAGUCGAACGGAAAGGCCCUGCUUUUGUGGGGUGCUCGAGUGGCGAACGGGUGAGUAACACGUGAGUAACCUGCCCUUGACUUUGGGAUAACUUCAGGAAACUGGGGCUAAUACCGGAUAGGAGCUCCUGCUGCAUGGUGGGGGUUGGAAAGUUUCGGCGGUUGGGGAUGGACUCGCGGCUUAUCAGCUUGUUGGUGGGGUAGUGGCUUACCAAGGCUUUGACGGGUAGCCGGCCUGAGAGGGUGACCGGCCACAUUGGGACUGAGAUACGGCCCAGACUCCUACGGGAGGCAGCAGGGGGGAAUAUUGCACAAUGGGCGGAAGCCUGAUGCAGCAACGCCGCGUGCGGGAUGACGGCCUGCGGGGUGUAAACCGCUUUCGCCUGUGACGAAGCGUGAGUGACGGUAAUGGGUAAAGAAGCACCGGCUAACUACGUG